rnacentral:rRNA from 1 species
UGAGGAAUAUUGGUCAAUGGACGCGAGUCUGAACCAGCCAAGUAGCGUGAAGGAUGACUGCCCUAUGGGUUGUAAACUUCUUUUAUAAGGGAAUAAAGUGAGGGACGUGUCCCUUUUUGUAUGUACCUUAUGAAUAAGGAUCGGCUAACUCCGUGCCAGCAGCCGCGGUAAUACGGAGGAUCCAAGCGUUAUCCGGAUUUAUUGGGUUUAAAGGGAGCGUAGGUUGACAUAUAAGUCAGCUGUGAAAGUUUACGGCUCAACCGUGAAAUUGCAGUUGAUACUGUAUGUCUUGAGUGUACAAGAGGUGGGCGGAAUUCGUGGUGUAGCGGUGAAAUGCUUAGAUAUCACGAAGAACUCCAAUUGCGAAGGCAGCUCACUGGGGUACAACUGACACUGAGGCUCGAAAGCAAGGGGAGCAAACA